GACGAACGCUGGCGGCGUGCUUAACACAUGCCAGUCGAACGGGAUCCGGGCUUUCGGGUUUGGUGAGAGUGGCGAACGGGUGAGUAACACGUGAGUAACCUGCCCCCUUCUUUGGGAUAACGUCGGGAAAUCGGCGCUAAUACUGGAUAUUCUUGCUGCAUCGCAUGGUGUGGUUUGGAAAGGGUUUCUGGUGGGGGAUGGGCUCGCGGCCUAUCAGCUUGUUGGUGGGGUGAUGGCCUACCAAGGCUUUGACGGGUAGCCGGCCUGAGAGGGUGUCCGGCCACACUGGGACUGAGACACGGCCCAGACUCCUACGGGAGGCAGCAGUGGGGAAUAUUGCACAAUGGGCGCAAGCCUGAUGCAGCGACGCCGCGUGAGGGAUGACGGCCUUCGGGUUGUAAACCUCUUUCAGUAUGGAACAAGGAUCCUUCGUUUGGGGGGUUUGAGGGUACGUGCAGAAGAAGCGCCGGCUAACUACGUG
rnacentral:rRNA from 1 species